rnacentral:misc_RNA from 1 species
GAUGAAGAACGUAGCGAAAUGCGAUAAGUAAUGUGAAUUGCAGAAUCCAGUGAAUCAUCGAAUCUUUGAACGCACAUUGCGCCCGCCAGCAUUCUGGCGGGCAUGCCUGUUCGAGCGUCAUUUCAACCCUCGACCUCCCUUUGGGGAAGGCGGCGUUGGGGACCGGCAGCACACCGCCGGCCCUGAAAUGGAGUGGCGGCCCGUCCGCGGCGACCUCUGCGUAGUAAUCCAACUCGCACCGGAACCCCGACGCGGCCACGCCGUAAAACACCCAACUUCUGAACGUUGACCUCGAAUCAGGUAGGACUACCCGCUGAACUUAAGCAUAUCAAUAAGCGGAGGA